AACGAACGCUGGCGGCAGGCCUAACACAUGCAAGUCGAGCGCGCCCUUCGGGGUUAGCGGCGGACGGGUGAGUAACGCGUGGGAACGUGCCCUUUUCUACGGAAUAGCCUCGGGAAACGGAGAGUAAUACCGUAUACGCCCUUUGGGGGAAAGAUUUAUCGGAAAAGGAUCGGCCCGCGUUGGAUUAGGUAGUUGGUGGGGUAAUGGCCUACCAAGCCGACGAUCCAUAGCUGGUUUGAGAGGAUGAUCAGCCACACUGGGACUGAGACACGGCCCAGACUCCUACGGGAGGCAGCAGUGGGGAAUCUUAGACAAUGGGGGCAACCCUGAUCUAGCCAUGCCGCGUGAGUGAUGAAGGCCGUAGGGUUGUAAAGCUCUUUCAGCUGGGAAGAUAAUGACGGUACCAGCAGAAGAAGCCCCGGCUAACCCCGUG
rnacentral:rRNA from 1 species